UACAGAGGGUGCAAGCGUUGUCCGGAAUCAUUGGGCGUAAAGAGCGUGUAGGCGGUCCGGUAAGUCGGCUGUGAAAGUCCAGGGCUCAACCCUGGGAUGCCGGUCGAUACUGCCGGACUAGAGUUCGGAAGAGGCGAGUGGAAUUCCCGGUGUAGCGGUGAAUGCGCAGAUAUCGGGAGGAACACCUAUGGCGAAGGCAGCUCGCUGGACGUUACUGACGCUGAGACGCGAAGCGUGGGAGCAACAGG
rnacentral:rRNA from 1 species